GGCUUAGUGGUGUAAUGGUAACACCUCCGCUCUACAUGAUGUUUCAUUCCGAGUUUUCGCGGGAGUUCCUUGUUCGACUCAAGGCUAGGCCA